rnacentral:rRNA from 1 species
AUUGAACGCUGGCGGCAUGCUUUACACAUGCAAGUCGAACGGCAGCGCGGGGCAACCUGGCGGCGAGUGGCGAACGGGUGAGUAAUACAUCGGAACGUACCCAGAAGUGGGGGAUAACGUAGCGAAAGUUACGCUAAUACCGCAUACGUUCUACGGAAGAAAGUGGGGGACCUUCGGGCCUCAUGCUUUUGGAGCGGCCGAUGUCUGAUUAGCUAGUUGGUGAGGUAAAGGCUCACCAAGGCGACGAUCAGUAGAUGGUCUGAGAGGACGACCAGCCACACUGGGACUGAGACACGGCCCAGACUCCUACGGGAGGCAGCAGUGGGGAAUUUUGGACAAUGGGCGCAAGCCUGAUCCAGCAAUGCCGCGUGAGUGAAGAAGGCCUUCGGGUUGUAAAGCUCUUUUGUCAGGGAAGAAACGGCUGAGGUUAAUACCUUUGGCUAAUGACGGUACCUGAAGAAUAAGCACCGGCUAACUACGUGCCAGCCGCCGCCGUAA